rnacentral:tRNA from 1 species
GCCUGCGUGGCUCGGUUGGUUGGGCAUCUGACUUCGGCUCAGGUCACGAUCUCACGGUUCAUGGGUUCGAGCCCCACUUCGGGCU